rnacentral:rRNA from 1 species
UACGUAGGGGGCAAGCGUUGUCCGGAAUCAUUGGGCGUAAAGAGCGCGUAGGCGGCCCCGUAAGUCCGCUGUGAAAGUCAAAGGCUCAACCUUUGAAAGCCGGUGGAUACUGUGGGGCUAGAGUCCGGAAGAGGCGAGUGGAAUUCCUGGUGUAGCGGUGGAAUGCGCAGAUAUCAGGAGGAACACCAAUAGCGAAGGCAGCUCGCUGGGACGGUACUGACGCUAAGGCGCGAAAGCGUGGGGAGCGAACAGG